AACUUUCAACAACGGAUCUCUUGGUUCUGGCAUCGAUGAAGAACGCAGCGAAAUGCGAUAAGUAGUGUGAAUUGCAGAAUUCAGUGAAUCAUCGAAUCUUUGAACGCACAUUGCGCCCCUCGGUAUUCCGUGGGGCAUGCCUGUUCGAGCGUCAUC
rnacentral:rRNA from 1 species